rnacentral:rRNA from 1 species
UACGUAGGGUGCAAGCGUUAAUCGGAAUUACUGGGCGUAAAGCGUGCGCAGGCGGUUUUGUAAGACAGUGGUGAAAUCCCCGGGCUCAACCUGGGAACUGCCAUUGUGACUGCAAGGCUGGAGUGCGGCAGAGGGGGAUGGAAUUCCGCGUGUAGCAGUGAAAUGCGUAGAUAUGCGGAGGAACACCGAUGGCGAAGGCAAUCCCCUGGGCCUGCACUGACGCUCAUGCACGAAAGCGUGGGGAGCAAACAGGAUUAGAUACCCUGGUAGUCCACGCCCUAAACGAUGUCAACUGGUUGUUGGGAAUUAGUUUUCUCAGUAACGAAGCUAACGCGUGAAGUUGACCGCCUGGGGAGUACGGCCGCAAGGUUGAA